rnacentral:rRNA from 1 species
ACAGCUCACUGGUCAAGUGAGUCUGCGCCGAAAAUGUAACGGGGCUCAAAGUAUGUACCGAAGCUACGGGUGUAAAAGUUUCUUCGGAAAUUUUUACGCGGUAGAGGAGCAUUCCGUAUGCCUGUGAAGGGUCAUCGUGAGGAGGCCUGGAGGUAUCGGAAGAGAUUAUGCUGGCAUAAGUAGCGAUUAAACGCGUGAGAAACGCGUUCGCCGAAAUUCUAAGGUUUCCUGGGGAAGGUUAAUCCGCCCAGGGUGAGUCGGGUCCUAAGCUGAGGCUGAAAGGCGUAGGCGAUGGACAUCCGGUUAAUAUUCCGGAACCGCUGUUUGCAUGUUAUGCAACGGAGUGACAGAUUGGGAUAGUUCAGCCCCCUGAUGGAUGGGGGUUCAAACGCGUAGGAAGAUCCGCCAGGCAAAAUCCAGUGGAUCAAUUCCAAGGCGUGAUGUCGACCUGGAUCGCAAGUGAAAGGGAAGUGAUUGAAUCCUGGUUUCAAGAAAAGCUUCGUUGUGAUGUAGAUGGCGCCCGUACCGUAAACGGACACACGUAGAAAGGGAGAAUAUCCCAAGGCGCUUGAGAGAAUUCUGGUCAAGGAACUCUGCAAAUUAACGUCGUAACUUCGGAAGAAGACGUGAUCUUUAAAGUGUAGGUGCACAACCGAAGCUUUGAAGAUUCGCAGCGAAAUGGUGGCGGCGACUGUUUAUCAAAAACACAGGGCUGUGCAAAGUCGUGAAGACGACGUAUACGGCCUGACGCUUGCCCGGUGCUGGAAGGUUAAGGCAAGGGGUCAAUCUCGCAAGAGGUGAAGCUCUGAACCGAAGCCCCAGUAAACGGCGGCGGUAACUAUAACAACGGUUGUAGUUAUAAAAUUCAGCUAUAUGCGGGAAAGUCUGGUUAGUAUCGGAUGAUACUCGUUGGGUUUCAGCCCAGCAGUAAAAAUGCAUCCGUGCAGGCAAUCCGCAGGAAAGACUUGGAAAAUUUAAAAUUCAAAAUGCAAAGUGCAAAACCACAAUGCAAAAUGAAAAAUUUCAGUUUUCUCAAGAAUCCUCAGAGACUAUACGCUGAAUCCGAUUCCACUGAAUCGGAAUGAUAUAGUCCGAACCCUGUGGCGACAUAGGGAGAUAGUCUGAAAGGACUAUCCGCCCCGCACUUUCAAGAAAGUGCGGGGUUAUUAAAGUAACAACGCGAACCGUCCUAAGGUAGCGAAGUUCCUUGUCGGGUAAGUUCCGACCUGCACGAAAAGCGUAACGACUGCCACACUGUCUCGACCGGAAGCUCAGCGAAAUUGUAUUGGCCGUGCAGAUGCGGUCUACCCGCGGCAAGACGGAAAGACCCUGUGCACCUUUACUAUAACUUGGCAGUGAAUUUCGGGCUUGUUUGUGUAGGAUAGGUGGGAGCCUUUGAAACCGGGGCGCUAGCUUCGGUGGAGGCAACCUUGAAAUACCACCCUGACUAUUCUGGAAUUCUAACUGACACCCCUAAUCGGGGUGCAGGACACUGUCUGGCGGGUAGUUUAUCUGGGGCGGAUUCCUCCCAAAAAGUAACGGAGGAGUGCGAAGGUCACCUCAGGCUGAUUGGAAACCAGCCGUCGAGCGUAAGAGCAUAAGGUGGCUUGACUGCGAGACUGACAAGUCGAGCAGGUACGAAAGUAGGCUUUAGUGAUCCGGUGGUCCCGCAUGGAAGGGCCAUCGCUCAUCGGACAAAAGGUACGCCGGGGAUAACAAAUGUUGUCCCGUUUGACAGGUAACUGUCAGACAAAGUAUAUGGCUUAUAACGGGGAAGCCCAAAUUUGUUGCGAUAUUAAGGGUAUCGCGCUGUCGUCACUUGAUGACAAAACAGAUGGGUAAUCCCGUGGGAAGUCGCGCGGCAUAGCUACGAAAUCAAAAAUAAAAGUGUAAAGAUCAAAAUUUUUGAGUUUUGAUUUUUGAGAUUUGGUCUUGUUGCGAAGCAGCGUUGACCCCGUAACGACUUCAUUCGUAAUGAAUGGGAUGGGUGUUACUUGUGAGAAAAAUUUCGCAAAAUCUAUGACAUCCAUAAUACGCCAUACUCCCACACGUUCAUGGAAAGUGCGGGAUGAUGAUAUAGUCUAUACUUAUCGAAAGAUAAGAUAAAUUGAACAGGCUGAUCGCUUCCAAGAGUUCAUAUCGACGAAGCGGUUUGGCACCUCGAUGUCGGCUCAUCACAUCCUGGGGCUGAAGCUGGUCCCAAGGGUUCGGCUGUUCGCCGAUUAAAGUGGUACGUGAGCUGGGUUCAGACCGUCGUGAGACAGGUCGGUCCCUAUCUGCCGUGGGCGUAGGAAACUUGAGGGGGGCUGUCCUUAGUACGAGAGGACCGGGAUGGACGCACCUCUGGUGUACCAGUUAUCGUGCCAACGGUAAGCGCUGGGUAGCCAUGUGCGGUGGUGAUAACCGCUGAAAGCAUCUAAGCGGGAAGCACGCCCCAAGAUUAGGUUUCCCCAUCAGACCACUCGAAGAUGACGAGUUUGAUAGGCGGGAGGUGGAAGCGCUGCGAGGCGUUUGAGCCAACCCGUACUAAUUGGUCGAUUGGCUUGGCCUUAUAU